rnacentral:rRNA from 1 species
CGGGGUGAGUAACGCGUGGGUAACCUGCCUCAUACAGGGGAUAACAGUUAGAAAUGACUGCUAAUACCGCAUAAGCGCACAGGGUCGCAUGACCUGGUGUGAAAAACUCCGGUGGUAUGAGAUGGACCCGCGUCUGAUUAGCUAGUUGGCGAGGUAACGGCCCACCAAGGCGACGAUCAGUAGCCGACCUGAGAGGGUGAUCGGCCACAUUGGGACUGAGACACGGCCCAA